GAUCAUGGCUCAGGAUGAACGCUAGCUACAGGCUUAACACAUGCAAGUCGAGGGGCAGCAUGAGAUUAGCUUGCUAAUCUUGAUGGCGACCGGCGCACGGGUGAGUAACGCGUAUCCAACCUUCCCCCUACUCAGGCAUAGCCCGGUGAAAACCGGAUUAACUCCUGAUAGUUUCACUAGAUGGCAUCUGACGGUGAAUAAGCUUUGCGGUAAGGGAUGGGGAUGCGUCUGAUUAGCUUGUUGGCGGGGUAACGGCCCACCAAGGCGACGAUCAGUAGGGGUUCUGAGAGGAAGGUCCCCCACAUUGGAAUUGAGACACGGUCCAAACUCCUACGGGAGGCAGCAGUGAGGAAUAUUGGUCAAUGGGCGCGAGCCUGAACCAGCCAAGUAGCGUGCCAGGACGACGGCCCUAUGGGUUGUAAACUGCUUUUGUGCGGGAAUAAAGUCAGGGACGUGUCCCUGUUUGCAUGUACCGCAAGAAUAAGGACCGGCUAAUUCCGUGCCAGCAGCUGC
rnacentral:rRNA from 1 species